UACAGAGGUCUCAAGCGUUGUUCGGAUUCAUUGGGCGUAAAGGGUGCGUAGGCGGUGGGGCAAGUCAGGUGUGAAAUCCCGGAGCUCAACUCCGGAACUGCACUUGAUACUGCUUUACUAGAGUACUGGAGAGGAGACUGGAAUUUACGGUGUAGCAGUGAAAUGCGUAGAUAUCGUAAGGAAGGCCAGUGGCGAAGGCGAGUCUCUGGACAGUUACUGACGCUGAGGCACGAAGGCCAGGGGAGCAAACGGG
rnacentral:rRNA from 1 species